GCACCCCGCCGGCCCUGAAAUGGAGUGGCGGCCCGUCCGCGGCGACCUCUGCGAAGUACUACAGCUCGCACCGGAAACCCGACGCGGCCCCGCCGUGAAACCCCCAACUCUGAACGUUGACCUCGGAUCAGGUAGGACU
rnacentral:rRNA from 1 species